rnacentral:rRNA from 1 species
UACCAGCACCCCGAGUUGUCGGGACGAUUAUUGGGCCUAAAGCAUCCGUAGCCUGUUCUGCAAGUCCUCCGUUAAAUCCACCUGCUCAACGGAUGGGCUGCGGUGGAUACGGGCAGGCUGGAGGCUGGUAGGGGCAAGCGGAAUUCCUGGUGUAGCGGUGAAAUGCGCAGAUAUCAGGAGGAACACCAAUAGCGAAGGCAGCUCGCUGGGACGGUACUGACGCUGAGGCGCGAAAGCGUGGGGAGCAAACAGG